rnacentral:hammerhead_ribozyme from 1 species
AAGCGAAACCGGCCUCCGGGCCGGUCUGCGGAAGUGGCCACUCCGCACUGAUGAGCUAGGCCGAG